rnacentral:rRNA from 1 species
GAAGAACCUUACCAAGGCUUGACAUCGUAUUGACGGUUAUAGAAAUAUAACUUCUCUUCGGAGCAAUAUGACAGGUGGUGCAUGGCUGUCGUCAGCUCGUGUCGUGAGAUGUUGGGUUAAGUCCCGCAACGAGCGCAACCCUUGUCCCAUGUUGCUAACAGGUAAUGCUGAGAACUCUUGGGAAACUGCCGGCGUAAAGCUGGAGGAAGGUGGGGACGACGUCAAGUCAUCAUGCCCUUUAUGUCUUGGGCCGCACACGUGCUACAAUGGACCGUACAAAGAGCAGCGAUACCGCGAGGUGGAGCAAAUCUCUUAAAGCGGUUCUAAGUCCAGAUUGAAGGCUGAAAUUCGCCUUCAUGAAGUGGGAGUCGCUAGUAAUCGUGGAUCAGAACGCCACGGUGAAUACGUUCCCGGGCCUUGUACACACCGCCCGUCACACCACGAAAGUUGGAAACACCCAAAGAUGAUGUACUAACCGGCAACGGGGGAAGUCAUUUAAGGUGGAGUCAAUAAUUGGGGUGAAGUCGUAACAAGGUAACCAAGGGCGAA